AUGUCUAGUAACUCAGCACUCAGCUGCAACUUCUGUGCCACCCUGCGCCGCCCAGGAGACAAGAUGAAAUUGCUAGUAUGUGAGAUUUGUGACAGCCUCUGCACGCCAGGACUUCUCGCGUCUUUAUCAUCAGGGACACAACUUAGACCAGUUUCUGCUGUGUGGAACCUUCAUGGACAUAUGAUCCCUGUGGAGACAUGGCUCUGGUUUUGUUGUUUUUAACACAUUCCAUUUUGAAUCAUAAGCUAUUUGAGCUGGACAGGAGACUAUUAAAGACCUAUUCGGUCUCCUGAUCUAUAAACUGAAUUCCACUGAGCCCUGGAAGUCAUCCAAAGUGCUCAGGGCCACUCUAAUUUUACCUCUUCUCUAUAUGCAACCACCCCACGGGUGUCUGCAAGGGACAGCAAAACCUGCAGAUGCCCAAAUCGCUCGCAGAAAACACUGUAGUGUCGGCAAACAUUCCAGAAAGAAGGAACUUUUCUAAAGUCAUGGACAUUUGAAGAAUGACAAAAAAAAAAACAUUAAACAAUUUUGAACGGUUAAAAAUGUAACCCUUUUCUUAACACAAAACAAACAAUAAAGCCAAUUUUUACCUGGAUUGGAUCUAGACAAUGUAAAAGUGACACAGUAGGUGGCGCUCUUGAGCAGAAGAGAAAGAACUUGGGUUUCCUGCCUGUGAAGCGGGGUUCUUCUGGGCAGCCUCCAGGGGCUGUGCCGUCCCGGCCCCUGGGGGGUUCUGGGGGAGGAGCCACAUUUCUUACCAUACCCCUCCAGUCCUGGCUGGUUGGUACUCAGACCUCAUUGGCUCCGAGAACCCACCUGUGGAGAGUCUUCAAAACACAAUUUCCCACGAAGUCUGAAAGAAAUAAAUCCAAUUAUCAAGCAAACUGUUGAGUUUAUUUCCAUUUUUCCAUAUGAACAAAUACAUGUGGACAUUGGGAUGGGACUCUUCCUAAGCUGCUCCCAAACUCCAGGUUCUGAGCUCUCCUCUCUCCACACAAGAAGCUGCCAAUGUCUGGAAACAUUCCACGUAUCCAAAUCCUCAAAAAAUGUCAACAGUAGAAGGAAUUUCCUUCCUUAAAAAUAUUUUGUUUUCUUUACGGGUCUAAGUCUGUGCUGUAUGGAAAUGUGCACACAUGAGUGCUGGUAACUGUGGAGCCAGAAGGUGGCCUUGGGUCCCCUGGAACUGGAGUUACCGGCAGUUGUGAGCUGAUUGGUGGGUCCUGGGAACUGAACUCAGGUCUUCUGCAGGAGCAGUAAGGGCUCUUAACCUCAUAGCCACCUCUCCAGCAAUGCAUAUUUGGUGAUGUGGCGACUACACCACACAGAGGACUGACUUUUUCUCAACAGCUCUUCAAGGUGCUUGUUGAUAGCGCCGUUUCAUUCAUGAUGAAACAGGUGUGACCUUCUGAGAUCACACCAUGAAAGAUCUCAAUAGUUUAUAGCCCAAACUUGGCCUAU
rnacentral:lncRNA from 1 species